rnacentral:rRNA from 1 species
AUUGAGCGCUGGCGGCAGGCCUACCACAUGCAAGUCGAGCGAGCGGCGGACGGGUGAGUCAUGUAUGGGGAUCUGCCUGAUGGAGGGGGAUAACUCCUGGAAACGGUAGCUAAUACAACAUACCAUCAGAUGAACCCAUAUGGGAUUACCUUGUAGGUAAGGUAACGGCUUACCUAGGCGACAAUCCCUAGCUGGUCUGAGAGGCUGAUCAGCCACACUGGGACUGAGACACGGCCCAGACUCCUACGGGAGGCAGCAGUGGGGAAUAUUGCACAAUGGGCGCAAGCCUGAUGCAGCCAUGCCGCGUGUAUGAAGAAGGCCUUCGGGUUGUAAAGUACUUUCAGUCGGGAGGCGUUACCGACAGAAGAAGCACAGGCGAACUCCGUGCCAGCAGCCGCGGUAAUAC